rnacentral:rRNA from 1 species
AGCCACAACCAUAUCACCCUGCAGCCCAAGACCGGUUACUCACUGAAGCUAAGCAGGGCUGAGCCUGGUCAGUACCUGGAUGGGAGACCACUAGGGAACACUAGGUUGCUGCUGGAA